rnacentral:rRNA from 1 species
UACAGAGGUCUCAAGCGUUGUUCGGAUUCAUUGGGCGUAAAGGGUGCGUAGGCGGCACAGCAAGUCGGGAGUGAAAGCCCGGGGCUCAACCCCGGAAUGGCUUUCGAAACUGCUGAGCUAGAGUACAGAAGGGGCAACCGGAAUUCCCAGUGUAGCGGUGAAAUGCGUAGAUAUUGGGAAGAACACCUGAGGCGAAGGCGGGUUGCUGGGCUGAUACUGACGCUGAGGCGCGAAAGCCAGGGGAGCAAACGGG